CGCAACGCGAAGAACCUUACCAAGGCUUGACAUAUACAGGAAUAUGGGCAGAGAUGUCAUAGCCGCAAGGUCUGUAUACAGGUGCCGCAUGGUUGUCGUCAGCUCGUGUCGUGAGAUGUUGGUUUAAGUCCCGCAACGAGCGCAACCCUCGUUCUGUGUUGCCAGCAUUUAGUUGGGGACUCACAGGAGACUGCCGGGGUUAACUCGGAGGAAGGUGGGGAUGACGUCAAAUCAUCAUGCCCCUUAUGUCUUGGGCUGCACGCAUGCUACAAUGGCUGGUACAAACGGCUGCAAUACCGCAAGGUGGAGCGAAUCCGAUAAAGCCAGUCUCAGUUCGGAUUGGGGUCUGCAACUCGACCCCAUGAAGUCGGAGUUGCUAGUAAUCGUAGAUCAGCAACGCUACGGUGAAUACGUUCCCGGGGCUUGUACACACCGCCCGUCACGUCACGAAGUCGGUAACACCC
rnacentral:rRNA from 1 species